rnacentral:rRNA from 1 species
GUCGGCUGUACCAGAAGUGCGUGGGCCAACUCUGCGGAGGGGCAGCGUCCCAAGGUAUGGUCGGUGAUUGGGGUGAAGUCGUAACAAGGUAGCCGUAGGUGAACCUGCAGAAGGAYMA